GAGUUUGAUCUUGGCUCAGAUUGAACGCUGGCGGCAUGCCUUACACAUGCAAGUCGAACGGCAGCACGGGAGCUUGCUCCUGGUGGCGAGUGGCGAACGGGUGAGUAAUGCAUCGGAACGUAUCCUGGAGUGGGGGAUAACGUAGCGAAAGUUACGCUAAUACCGCAUAUUCUGUGAGCAGGAAAGCGGGGGACCUUCGGGCCUCGCGCUCUUGGAGCGGCCGAUGUCGGAUUAGCUAGUUGGUGAGGUAAAGGCUCACCAAGGCGACGAUCCGUAGCAGGUCUGAGAGGAUGAUCUGCCGCACUGGAACUGAGACGCGGUCCAGACUCCUACGGGAGGCAGCAGUGGGGAAUUUUGGACAAUGGGGGCAACCCUGAUCCAGCCAUGCCGCGUGAGUGAAGAAGGCCU
rnacentral:rRNA from 1 species